CCGCUCUAUAUCUUAAGAACCGUUAUCAUUUCAAAAGUUUAUACUUGACAUGUCUAUAAACAACACCAAAGGUGUGUCAUAACUUAUUUACAACUUCCUAGGUCAAAGGUCAAGGUCAAAAACUUUGAUUUCAGUUGACAAACCCAUGUCCUAUGGUAAAGAUACAAUUUUUUAUUGCAUAUUAUUCACAGCGGGGCCCACAGAGAUGGUUCCCAUCUCAAUGAUAUCUAG
rnacentral:lncRNA from 1 species